AGAUGAAAAUUUGUAUUUAUACGGUUGGCUGUGGCUAACAUCCCAAAAGCCAAAUGUCCUUUUAUGCCACGACGGCUACACGUGAAUUUGAAGUCACCACCACCACCACCGAGUCCCCUAAGCCCUGCCCUGCCCUGCCCCCUCACCUCCCUCACCCUCUAACCACUGUAGGGUUUUAUGUAUAGGACUAUGCCUGGAACAUGGUGUGUGUGUGUGUAUAUUGCUCUCAUUUCUGAUGUACUUGUAAAGAAAGUAAUGAAUAUUGAAUAUUUUCAUGCCAUUUCAUUGAAAGAAAUGUUAGCCAAAGAAGAAUUUGAAGUGUGUCCAGCUGACAAUAUGAUAGUAGUUCCAGUUGGCAGUAAAUUCUGGAGACUUUAGAAAGAGGUCUGUCACCAAACACAGUUACUCCUGCCCUGCCCACACCCUACAAUUACUCCUGCCCUGCCCACACCUUACAAUUACUCCUGCCCUGCCCACACCCUACAAUUACUCCUGCCCUGCCCACACCCUACAAUUACUCCUGCCCUGCCCACACCCUACACCAUUGUAACACAAGACAGGAGCACCAAGGUGUUUGUGGUGGGUCUGCCAUCGCCCCACACCACCAGGGCAGGGGGUGGCACCAUUGGUGUGUGCUCCGUGUCACCAAAGGCCCCACACAACCACAAGAAAUGACUGGUGGUGCUAUAAAGCCAAAGGCAGGAGCGUGUUGCUGCCCACCUCUGGGUGCAUGUAAGCCUUCCAUGGGUGGCUUACUGUUGCACUACAUACUCCUUGAAAAGUACAGGUAGUGGUCAUGGUGGAGGAGUCCACCCAAUGGCCAUCUUCAGACUCUGAUUUACAUAGAACAUUUGUAUUUGUGUCAAAUUUGUGUGAAACUGCGAAGUUUCUUAAAUCUGUAUUGUUGCUUUCCUUCUCUAAUAAGAAGCAAGUUCUUCUAGUUUAGUUCUAUAAGAGUAUGAAUGGCUUUUAUGCAUUUAAGAUCUGAUCUACCACUUGUUCUAGUGUAAAAGUCUGUCUCCUGUGAAGGUCUGCGCCCCCAAGGCUAGGAUGUGUCUAGGCUAAAGGUGAGCCUCUAGGGAAGCACUCAUGGUACAGUUGGCUCCAUGGAGACUUGUCAUGGAAAAAAUCCUUCAAGAAAGUAAACUUUUCCACAAGUAUUGCAGCAGGUAACUGUUCUCUGCAUUACUUCUGCAUGGAGUAGCAUAGUUGGUGUAAUUACUGCUGCAAUAAUUCUUACAUUCCUUUUGUCUCUUCAGUAAGUAAAUGUAGGAAGCUGUUGGAACAAGGUUAGAGUGAUGGAGAUGGCAUUGCCUAUUGGGGAUAAAAACUGUAAUUGUGCUUAGAUUUAUUCAUACUUUCAGAAUUCUUCAAUAUAGGCUCAAGCUUUUUCCUUAUUUACUAGUUUUUGUUGCUUGAAUAAGAGUGAACUCUAUGAUUAUGUAUAAGUCUUACAUUUACUUAUUCCAGUCUGUGUCCUGCUAUCCUGUGUAUUGUAGGAGAAGAUUCUACAUUAUUGGGUCACCUUUCUCUGACUCCUAUAGAUAGAUAGAUAGACAGGUAGGUAGGUAGAUUAUUCCCAUGACUGCCAAAGAGGGUAUGGCUGAGUCCAACAGUGAUAUUGUAAAUCUUGCUUAGUAAUGUUUCAUUUGCUAGAUUUUUAUCAGCACAGUUCCCAGUCAGUGCUGUCUAUAUUGAUACUUUCCUUUUUUUAAGCCAAAAUUGCAUUUGUACAAAUUGUGAUUGAGCCUUCAGGGAGCACAAGGCCAGCAAGCACCAGCAUGGCCAAAACAAAGGGCCGUAUUACAAGUCCAAUGCGAGAAGUUUCGGGUCCCUACAGAGUCUGGGAUGAAUAACUCUGUACUUGACUUGUAAUGCGGCCCCUAAACUGAACUCUGUAGGGACCCAAAUUUCUUGGAUUUGACUUGUAAUGCGGCCCCUAAACUGAACUCUGUAGGGACUCAAAACUUCUCGGAUUUGACUUGUAAUGCGGCCCCUAAACUGAACUCUGUAGGGACCCCAAACUUCUCAGAUUCGACUUGUAAUGCGGCCCCUAAACUGAACUCUGUAGGGACCCAAAACUUCUUGGAUUCGACUCGUAAUGCGGCCCCUAAACUGAACUCUGUAGGGACCCAAAACUUCUUGGAUUCGACUUGUAAUGCGGCCCCUAAACUGAACUCUGUAGGGACUCAAAACUUCUCAGAUUCGACUUGUAAUGUGGCCCCUAAACUGAACUCUGUAGGGACCCAAAAUUUCUUGGAUUUGACUUGUAAUGCGGCCCCUAAACUGAACUCUGUAGGGACCCAAAAUUUCUUGGAUUUGACUUGUAAUGCGGCCCCUAAACUGAACUCUGUAGGGACCCAAAAUUUCUUGGAUUUGACUUGUAAUGCGGCCCCUAAACUGAACUCGGUAGGGACCCGAAACUUCUCGUAUUCGACUUGUAAUAUGUCCCAAAGACUGCCGACACCAGGCUCCAGCAAGUGUCCUCCGCCUCACAGCGGUGUGGCUCUGGGGCCCUGACUGCAUCACACAGCAGGAGCUCUGAGAAGGUGAAGGGGAGCCAAACCUCAGCAAUACUGUUCUUCCUUCUCAGUAUUGUCUUGUGGCCUUGUUGUUCUGAGGGGCCACUUAAGUAGUGUGUAGCAUUGGUUUACUUUCUGAUGCUUCUUGCAGUUAUAAGUCUAGUCAGCAGUGGCAAUGAGUUAUCUUAAAUUUGUUUUGCUUGAGGUAAAUCAAAAUUCCAUGACCAUAGAAAAUUAUAUAUGUAUAUACACACAGUUAGCUAUACAUCUCUAGUUUGCAGGAUUAAAGUUUCUGAUAUGAGCAGCAGCCAGCACAGAAUAUGUCAUCAUCCACAGGGCCUAGCCAGUGUCCUUUGUCUUGAGGGUCUUGUGAAGGCAUUGUGAUGAUGUAACAGGUCCUGAACUGCUUUACACAACAAUGGCUAAGGAUGUGUAGAUGACCCAAGCUUUAACAAUGGUGACAGAUUAUAUCCAGUGUCUUGUGAGGGUCUUGUGAAGGCAUUAUGAUGAUGGUCCUGAACUGCAUUACGCAACAACGACUAAGGAUAUUUAGAUGACCCAAGCUUUAACAGUGAUUAUAUCCAGUGUCCUCUGUCUUGUGAGGGUCUUGUGAAGGCAUUAUGAUGAGUCCUGAACUGCAUUACACAACAAUGACUGAGGAUUUAUAGAUGAGACAAACCUUAACAGUAGUUUCCUUGCAUUUAUGAACUUGUCACUUGCAGCAUUUUAAUUCUCAAGGGCUCAGUUUAAGGGAAAGUCUCCAAGGCCCGGGCAGAGCAAGUGAUAUAUAUAAUAGUAUAGUAGAGUUUUAUAAGUUCCCUGUAAACACAUUUUUCACAUAGAGGGAGAUUGAUAUUUAGUGGUGCAGUGUGUACAUGGAACUGUGUGUGUAGAAGGGUGAGUUGACCUUGUGGUAAGUGUGUGUGUGUGUGUGUGUGUGUGUGUGUGUGUGUGUGUGUGUGUGUGUGCUUUAUACAGUUUUAUAUUUUGUAACUGUGGUGAUCAUAAUUUUGACCACAAACCUUUAUAAUUAGCAUCAAUUUCUUUAUUAUUCCUCCUCCUCCUCCUCCUAUUAUCUCCUGGUCAUCAUAAGUGGUAGCAUGUCCCCAGUACCCACUCCGUGUACUUUGUGAGCUUUGAACACUCCUGAUUAUGUGAGUGCAUGUUUUUUGUUAUGAAGUGUUCAUGUCUACAGUUGCUUUGCUGCAUGACUCUCCCUUGUCGCUCCUUGGUGUGAUAAGGAAUACAUUUGUUUGCCCUGAAAGUAUAUUUUUGUGAAGAUGUUAUUUUAGCAUGAAGUAGAUGGGCUAAUGUACAGCAAAUCUUUGGAACUAAAAUUGGGUUUAUUGAAUCAUAUAAACCCUAAAUAAUUUUGUUGGAUAUAUAAAAGAUAGUUAAAGCAAAUAUAAUACACUUUUUAUUUGGUAAAUGGACUUUGAGCUUCCCCAGCCUGGUGGUCCUCUGGCUGGCUUGUUGAGUGAAGGUUUGCUGUACACCCAUGCAUUAUGGUUCACCUCAAAUAGAUGUGUUCAUAUAACUCCAGUGAUAGUUACUGAUGACAGGAAACAUGAUUGAAUUGUAGGGAAACAAGUCUACUUUCCUGCUGGGAUGUUUUCCCUUUUUAUUGAGCUAACUUCAGUGUGAACUUUCAUGUAGAGCUGAAACUUGCUUCUGUGCUGAUUAGGAUUUGUUGUCAAUGUGAGGCUGUGACCUGAUGGUGAAUGUUUUGUUUUGUUCUUGGUUAUACUCACUUGCUUUUAAGGACAUUAUGAGUUUGCAAGCAAUGAGACACACAGUGGUCACAGUUUGUAUAUGCUAUCUAGUACACCCAUACAAGGCUUUAGUAAUUUGCUAAGUUAUUCUAAUAUUAUUAAUGCUCUCAUAUUUGUUUGUAUUAAUGGCACACCUCUUGGUGUAAGUGAUUGGUUCUUGAAGUGGUAACUUGAUGGCCCUUGAGGCUCUGAGGCAGCAUUACACUUCUGGUGUGUGGAAAGGAAAGCAUUCAGUGAACCAUGUAAUGCUCCUCAACAUUUUUUUUAUAUCUAGCAAUAUAUUUCAAUUUUGUUUGUUAUGUUCCAUUGUCUGCCAAAACAAUUUUUGAAAUAAUUAAAACAGUCGGCACAAUUCUCAUCUUCACCUCUAUCAACUAGUACAUUGUGAACCUUUGGUUUUGCUUGUAUUUGAUGCAGUACCUUAUACAGAUUGGUGUUCAGGUAUAACAAGCUUUUGAGUAUAAUAGCUUGUGUCUGACCUGCUUGGUUCAUGAAGGAGAUGUGGGAUGCCCUCAGUGUCCCAGGUGGUGGCUGCGGUGUUUGUGUUCCAGUGGCACCGAUGAAAGCUCUGGUGGCCUGGCAGGAAGAGUGUGAUAGGAAUGCUUCAAGAAUGAUAUGUACUGCCUCUUGCUUAUUUAUCUAUUCAUCCCCUAUUUCUUUUACCUUAUAAUCAGCCUUGAUAAUAGUUUCCCAAUAUAUUUAUAUGAUUUGUGAAAGUUUCUAGAUCUGUGUUUAUUGUGAUGUUCAGUUUUGCUCCAUAAUAGUUUGUCUUGUGCCAGUCUAUACUUUAUAAUGUUUUUUCAUUGUCUUGUUUUGAUUUGUGAUAGUUUACAGAUUUGUUUUCUUUGUUAUUUCAUGCUUUGCACCAUUAAUGAAGAUCUCUGAAGUCUUUUGGAGCACUAACUUGUCUCGGUAGGGCCAUGAUUGUACCUGCAACACUGGUCAUUAUUCAUUUAGUUAUAUAUGUCAGGCCGGGGGCACCUUCCUCAAGCCAUUUUACAUUACAUUACCGUAUAUUGUUUAUUAUGCUGCUGACAGAGAGCGAUGUGGAUUCCAGUAGUUUUUAUGUUGGUUUCAGAGAGGUCAUUCACUCUGGGUGCAAUGCUGUCAUGUUGGUUCCUGUGACAUUGGUUACAAAUUCAUCCAUAGCUCAUAGAUGUUACUCCCAGUGUGAUCAGUCUCAUAUCAAGCUUUGUGAGUGCGCCUCUGCAACAUUGAUCGCAGAGGCACUUUGGUCGGGUGUUAGAGCAUCAAGUCUUGGAAUUAAUAAGCUGUGGUGAGGCUCUUCAAACCUCACUGCUGCUGUUUGAUGUCAGGAAGGGAUCUAUUUGUAAGCCCCAAGCAUCAAGCCCAACCUUUGAUUCUAGGGAGACAGCACAAGGAUAUAAGGAGACUACAAGCACUAGGAAGAAGUCAGUACUAUAAACAGCAUUGUACCCAGUGUGAAAUAGCCUUUAGUGUGAUGUGGCAAGGUUGGUCCAGCUGCAUUUCAUUGGUAGUGUGUGCAUGGGGCAACAUUGUAGAGAAGCGACCAGUCUGUAAUUCAUGAACGAAGGUUAUUGCCCUCAGUGACCUGUUUGCUUUGCCCAUUAUAUUGUGUUUCAACUGUGUGAUAAAUUUACAGUGCAAUGCUUGUCUUUGUUAUUAUUAUUAUUAUUAUUAUUAUUAUUAUCAUUAUCAUUAUCAUUAUUAUUAUUAUUAUUAUUAUUAUUAUUAUUAUUAUUAUUAUUAUUAUUAUUACAUGCAUUUUGUCAAAGAAUGAUGUUUUGAGGAGUUAUCAUGUAUCUUUUUAUUUGAAUUUUUCUUUAUCUUUUCCAUCAGCACCUUUUAUCUACAGGAGAUGCCUAUAACCAUUGUAUUUUUAUAUCUCAAUUCAUAACAAACUUUUAUAUAUAUAUAUAUAUAUAUAUAUAUAUAUAUAUAUAUAUAUAUAUAUAUAUAUAUAUAUAUAUAUAUAUAUAUAUAUAUAUAUAUAUAUAUAUAUAUAUAUACUGCUGAACCUUCAUAUAUAUUUCAUUUUUUUGGAGGGGGGGUUCGUACCUUGUACCGUGAAAGCUUGUGUGUAUAUAUAACUAGCUAGACACCUUAUUAUAGUCUUUUCAUCUUUAAAAAGUGUCUUAUAUAUAACAGUCUAAUCAUAAAGGACUCAUUGCAGUGACGACAGCCAAGUUAUAUAUAGGGGGCUUGUGGUGCAGCUGAUUAUAUCAUGUGUUGAAAGGCAGACUCACUGUGCCAUGCUACGUUGUGUAAAAUCAGUCUUGUGUAAACAGCAACUUUCUGAUGACUUGAUAUGCUUGAUUGAGGAACAGAUUUGAGCCUCUGGAAACAUAUUAGUUGUAGUUGCAGUAGUAGUAGUAGUAGUAGUAGUAGUUGUAACCUCCAAGGCUAUAUGUUUGAUUGAGAAAUAGAUUUUAAUCCCUAGAAAAAUAAUAGCAGUAGUAGUAGUAAAAGUAGUGGUAAUAGUAGUAAUAGUCAUAGUAGUAGUAGUAGUAGGAGGAGUACUAAACCUCUAAAAAGUCAUAUCCUUGAUAAAAAAAAAUGGUCUCUUAAACUGUGCCCAAAAAAUUAUAACUAAAACAACUUACACAAGUAUGCACGGCACAUGAGUUUAAUUAGACACCAUAAUUCAGCUGCACAGGAAAGAGUUGAAGCAAGUUGAUCAAUCAUGUUAAUAUGAAGUCAAUACAUUACAUGAUAAGAACAAUUUUAGUAGGUAAUGGCUAUCUAGUAAUACAGGUCUAUGAUAAAGUAGUUUUGGUUUACUACGUUCCCUGGAAAAAAAUUAUACGUAGCUUCAUAGUCUAAGGCUGAUAUUGUCAAACGCUUCUGCCUCUCACAUCAACUAUUUCCAAAGGCCAAAUAGGAGCUAAGUCGGGUUCUAAUAGGUGAUAUAUCAGGUUAGUGGUUCAGAAGAAGGGUCAAACUACCACCAGGGUCAUAAAACUACCCCGGGAAAUGCCCACAACUAUUUCCAAAGGCCAAAAAGGAGAUAAAUUGGGUUUUAAUGAGUGGUAUGUUAGGUUCGUGGUCCAGAAGAUGCCUCAAGCUACCACCAGGGUCAUAAAAAUACCCCGGGAAAUGCCCACAACUCCUACGAAAGCCUUCUAAUGAGUGGUAUCUUAGGUUUGUGGUCCAGAAGAAGGGUCAAACUACCACCAGGGUCAUAAAAAUACCCUGGGAAAUGCCCACAACU